GGAAGCGUGGCAGAGUGGUCGAUUGCACUGGUCUUGAAAACCAGCAAAGGGUAACCUUUCGUGAGUUCGAAUCUCACCGCUUCCG
rnacentral:tRNA from 1 species